rnacentral:ncRNA from 1 species
GCAAAGGUUCCGCAAGGAUGAAAAGGGAAGAAAGUGAGAAGCUUUCACGGUCCCGCCGCUGUAUGGGAAGAGCCGCAUUUUACUGUGUCACUGGGCAACCGGGAAGACGAAAUGCCGCAGAGAUACCCGAGUCAGAAGACCUGCCUUUGCAUGAA